GGCCUUUUCGCUUAGCGGGACAAAGCAUCACGGCGAUUUUGGUCCGAAUAUGAGGUAGCAGGUUAAGCUCGCGCCGUCGUAUUUGGACUGCUUUGCGUGAAGACCUGGGUUCAAGUCUCAGAGAGGCUA